rnacentral:ncRNA from 1 species
AACUUACACAUGCAAGUCUCAGCACUCCCGUGAGAACGCCCUUCAAACCUUCCCCAGGUCAAGGAGCCGGUAUCAGGCACAACUAUUUGCCCACAACACCUAGUCUCACCACGCCCCCAAGGGUAUUCAGCAGUGAUAAAUUUUGUUUAUAAGCGACAGCUUGAAUCAGUCAGAGAGAAGAGAGCCGGCCAACCUGGUGCCAGCCGCCGCGGCUAUACCAGAGGCUCAAGUUAAUAAUUAUCGGCGUUAAGCGUGAUUAAAGACCUCAAAAAUUAGGGUUAAAUUAAUGCUCAGUAGUUAUAAGCUUGUUAUUAAGAAAAACAUAAACGAAAGUUACCCUAAUACACUUGAAUACACGACAGCUAGGAACACAAACUGGGAUUAGAUACCCCACUAUGCCUAGCCGUAAACAAUUAACUUACACUUAAAAGCGCCAGGGAACUACGAGCGAUGCUUAAAACCCAAAGGAUUUGACGGUGUCCCACCCACCUAGAGGAGCCUGUUCUUUAAUCGAUGACCCCCGCUAUACCUGACCACUCCUAGCCUUUCAGUCUGUAUACCUCCGUCGAAAGCUUACCAUGUGAAUGUUCUAGUGGGCCGAAUGACCCCCAUCAACACGUCAGGUCAAGGUGCAACUCACGGAGUGGGAAGUAAUGGGCUACAAUUUCUAAUUUAGAACAAACGGAAAACUGCAUGAAACUGCAGUCAUGAAGGCGGAUUUAGUAGUAAAAAGAAAAUAAAGAGUUCUUUUUAACCCGGCUCUGGGACGCGUACACACCGCCCGUCACCCUCUUCGAUAAUAUUCCCC